rnacentral:sRNA from 1 species
GCUAGGCACAGUGGCGCACACCUGUAAUCCCAGGGACUCAGGAGGCUGAGGCAGGAGGAUCGUGAGUUCAAAGCCAGCCUCAGUAACAGCAAGGUGCUAAGCAACUCAGUGAGACCCUGUCUCUA